AUACGUAGGGGGCAAGCGUUAUCCGGAUUUACUGGGUGUAAAGGGAGCGUAGACGGCAAAGCAAGUCUGAAGUGAAAGCCCCGGGCUCAACCCGGGAAUUGCUUUGGAAACUGUUUAGCUGGAGUGCAGGAGAGGUAAGCGGAAUUCCUAGUGUAGCGGUGAAAUGCGUAGAUAUUAGGAGGAACACCGGCGGCGAAGGCGGCUUACUGGACUGUAACGGACGUUAAGGGUCGAAAGCGUGGGUAGCAAACAGGAUUAGAUACCCUGUUAGUCCACGCCGUAAACGAUGAUUACUAGGUGUUGGUUGUCAUAGACAAUCGGUGCCGCAGCAAACGCAAUAAGUAAUCCACCUGGGGAGUACGUUCGCAAGAAUGAAACUCAAAUGAAUUGACGGGG
rnacentral:rRNA from 1 species